rnacentral:rRNA from 1 species
AUUGAACGCUGGCGGCAUGCCUUACACAUGCAAGUCGAGCGGGGUGAUGGUGCUUGCACUAUCACUUAGCGGCGGACGGGUGAGUAAUGCUUAGGAAUCUGCCUAUUAGUGGGGGACAACAUCUCGAAAGGGAUGCUAAUACCGCAUACGUCCUACGGGAGAAAGCAGGGGAUCUUCGGACCUUGCGCUAAUAGAUGAGCCUAAGUCGGAUUAGCUAGUUGGUGGGGUAAAGGCCUACCAAGGCGACGAUCUGUAGCGGGUCUGAGAGGAUGAGCCGCCACACUGGGACUGAGACACGGCCCAGAAUCCUACGGGAGGCAGCAGUGGGGAAUAUUGGACAAUGGGGGGAACCCUGAUCCAGCCAUGCCGCGUGUGUGAAGAAGGCCUUAUGGUUGUAAAGCACUUUAAGCGAGGAGGAGGCUACUCUAGUUAAUACCUAGGGAUAGUGGACGUUACUCGCAGAAUAAGCACCGGCUAACUCUGUGCCAGCCGCCGCGGUAA